CUUCUGAUCACCGUAAACAUCAGACUCUUUAGUGCAGUCCUGAUUUCUGUAUUAAUGAAUUGAGAAGAUGACAUCAGUCUCUUAGGGAGAAUGCAAAGAAGAUGGAAGGGGGGCUGGAGCCUGGGGAGGCAAAC
rnacentral:lncRNA from 1 species